CUCAUUAUAUCGACUUUUUUUUCUUUCUCUAAAUACGCGGCUCCUGCUUCUCUCUACAAAAAUCCUUCAAAUCAGUUACAAAACUGUGCAAAUUAGUAACAUUACUUCCAUUUUGGACAUCAAAUCAGGCAGAGAGAAAUGAUGCAGAGGAUCAACCAGCUCCAAAAAGAUGUAUUUCUUCUGCUAUUGUGAAGAUUGAAGAGGGGAAGAUUGUUGCGGAUGUAUCUAGAGAUCCAAUGGAUACAAAUAAGGAAGAUGCAGCUGUGGAAGCUAGUCCAAGGGAGGUACCUAUCAGCCAGAAUGAGAGAAAUCCAUCCAAUUGGCUCUAGAGAGAUGGCUAUAAAAGGCCAUCCAAACUGGUAAACAUACAUGGAUGCCUUUGGUGGCCCAUAUCUACUUUUUGUUAGUCCUUAUUCUCUUUAUAAAGAUAAUGGUGUAUUUCUGCACCUUGGAGAAAUUGAUAUUUGAUUCAAAUAAUUUGUAGGAUUUUGAUAUACCUCAA